rnacentral:rRNA from 1 species
CAGCAGCCGCGGGAAUACGGAGGGUGCAAGCGUUAAUCGGAAUUACUGGGCGUAAAGCGCACGCAGGCGGUUUGUUAAGUCGGAUGUGAAAUCCCCGAGCUUAACUUGGGAACUGCAUUUGAAACUGGCAAGCUAGAGUGUGUCAGAGGAUGGUGGAAUUCCCGGUGUAGCGGUGAAAUGCGUAGAGAUCGGGAGGAACAUCAGUGGCGAAGGCGGCCAUCUGGGACAACACUGACGCUGAGGCACGAAAGCGUGGGGAGCAAACAGGAUUAGAUUCCCGCGUAGUCCCUGUCUCUUAUAC